rnacentral:ncRNA from 1 species
AGGAUUCCGAUGAAGAGAUGAGUACAAUGCCUAGAUUUAUAAGCAGUUAUUGCGUGCAGAGAGCCGGGGGAGCUGAAAACCGGUAUAAAUCAGCGUUAGAAGAUGGUCUCGGGAGGAACUUACAUUCGAGUGUCUCAUAAAAGGCAUAAGGGUGUGACGUAGCUGGCGUUAACAGAUUGUCAAAUGACUUAUUGAGCCCUUUUGAUUUUUGAAAAGGGGAAAUUGGGUGGUACCACGUGAGAAACGCUCUCGUCCCAUGU